rnacentral:rRNA from 1 species
AGUGAACGCUGGCGGUAGGCCUAACACAUGCAAGUCGAACGGCAGCACAGUAAGAGCUCGCUCUUACGGGUGGCGAGUGGCGGACGGAUGAGGAAUACAUCGGAAUCUACUUUUUCGUGGGGGAUAACGUAGGGAAACUUACGCUAAUACCGCAUACGACCUACGGGUGAAAGCAGGGGAUCUUCGGACCUUGCGCGAUUGAAUGAGCCGAUGUCGGAUUAGCUAGUUGGCGGGGUAAAGGCCCACCAAGGCGACGAUCCGUAGCUGGUCUGAGAGGAUGAUCAGCCACACUGGAACUGAGACACGGUCCAGACUCCUACGGGAGGCAGCAGUGGGGAAUAUUGGACAAUGGGCGCAAGCCUGAUCCAGCCAUACCGCGUGGGUGAAGAAGGCCUUCGGGUUGUAAAGCCCUUUUGUUGGGAAAGAAAAGCAGCAGGUUAAUACCCCGCUGUUCUGACGGUACCCAAAGAAUAAGCACCGGCUAACUUCGUG